GGUAGAGUCCAGGUUGGCGGGUCCUGGGGCGGAGUCAGGAUAGGGCGAUCCUGGAAGCUGGGCUUCAGAAGCGUCCAGAUAGGGUCUCUCUCUCUGCCACCCAGGCCAGAGUGCAGUUGACGCAGGGCAGGGGAGCCCCGAAGUGGAGCAUAGUGUGUCCGGAACUGGUGGGUUCUUGGUCUCACUGACUUCAAGAAUGAAGCCGUGGACCCUCACGAGACAGGGUUUCACCAUGUUGGCCAGGCUUGUCUUGAACUCCUGACGUCGUGAUCUGCCUGCUUUGGCCUCCCAAAGUCCUGGGAUUACAGGCAUGAGCCACCGUACCCAGCCACUCUUGAUUAACUUAAUGGAAAUAUUUACAGAGAUUCUUUCUCUUCUGGGUUCUAGCGUCUUAUCUGUAACCUCUGCAGGUGCAGGAAUGAGAGGCAGCAGCCGGGGAAGCCAGGGUCUCCGGAAGUCCUUGUCUCUGGGCGGUGAUCCAGAGAGAGAGAGAGAACACGAUUGUCUCAGCAAUGGGUCUUCUUCUGAGUCUUGAAGGAGCACUUCCAGAGCCUCUCAGUGUUAAACAUCGUGUUGUGAAUGACUCCGUGAGCUCUGACCCAGUGACCUUGGGGAUAAAGGAGGGGAGGUACGGAUAAGCUCUUCGAAUGGAUGUUGCCGGGGUGUCAGUGUUCUUUGAGGGCACAGACUAUGUGUCACUAAAGAAAGAGCCCAGUGCCUUUUCUCAUUGCUCAAGAGAUUGAAGGGGUAGUAAGAAAAGAUGUUAAGUUAUAAACACGUUUCAGUUUUGGUACCAGUUGAACCAAUUUACGUUUUGAAGAGGAAAGAGUCUUGCCUACAAUGUCAGCCCCCGGGUUUUCCUUCUGCUUAUGGAAUCCAGGCAAUGGGCAAAGAGAAAAAGAAAACUAAGGAAUCAGCCAGGUGCAGUGGCUCAUGCUUGUGAUCUUGGCACUUUGGGAAGCUGAGGCAGGUGGACUUCUUGAGUGCAGCAGUUCAAGACCAGCCUGGCCAACAUAGUGAGACCCCGUUUCUACAAAAAAUACAAAAAGUUGCUGAGCAUGGUGACAUGCACCUGUAGUCCCAGUUACUUGGGAGGCUGAGGUGGGAGAACUACUUCAUCCCAGGAGGCUGAGGCUGCAGCGAGCCAUGAUCGUGCCACUAUACUCCUGCCUGGGUGGCAGAGUGAGGCCCUGUCUCAAAAGAAAACAAAAAAGAUAAAAAGAAAACUAGGGAAUCUAGACAGCAUAAGUUUAUAUAUAUAAUAAAGAACUGAGAUAGAA
ensembl:lncRNA LINC02018 long intergenic non-protein coding RNA 2018